rnacentral:rRNA from 1 species
GACGUAGGGGGCCAGCGUUGUUCGGAAUUACUGGGUGUAAAGGGUUCGUAGGCGGUGCGGCAAGUUGGGAGUGAAAUCUCUGGGCUUAACCCAGAGGCUGCUUCCAAAACUGCUGUGCUCGAGUGUGGGAGAGGCGCGUGGAAUUGCAGGUGUAGCGGUGAAAUGCGUAGAUAUCUGCAGGAACACCCGUGGCGAAAGCGGCGCGCUGGACCACUACUGACGCUGAGGAACGAAAGCUAGGGGAGCAAAC